GAUUCAAAUCUUCUGCAACGAGGAUGCGAUGCAAAGUUGAUGAAGCUGUUUCCGGACAUCAUUCACGCAUCCCCGGGCCACUCAUCCACUUGUCGUGGACCCGCCUGAACAUGCUAGGCGCAGAUGCAAGUGAACGCUGGUUAGAUGGAGGAAAAAGCAAUAAUCGCCGACAGGAUGUUUGAAUUUUCAAGCUUCAGAGAGUAUUUGUAACGUGUUUGUGGUUGCAUUUCUGAACUGGUUUGCAAUGACCGGAUGAACUUGGUUGCAGCGAAUAGACGCGAUGAGAUUUGGAGGAGAAUUGUGUUGCUUGACAUGAGGUGUGAUUGGUGAAAACACAAGGCCACCGGAGCUUCUGUGUGAUUUGUAGGGGCAGGCGGAGAGCUUGUCUUGAAGUGGUGAUGGUGAUGGCAACGUCAAUGCUACUUCGGGCUGGCCCCGCUCUGUGAUGCAGAUGCCGGUAUCGCAAGCACAGGGAAACGAAAUGCACACUACGCUGCAAUCUCCAUCAAUCGGUGGAGCGCGAAUCAUUGCUGCUGGUCGAAGCGGUCAUGCCGUGUGCAGCAGGGAGAGAGCUCCGCUCAAAAUUCGAGCUCAGAGUGUUCCCCGCGGACUCUCUAGGCCAAGUGCAAUGCUUUCAUGCUUCCCCCAGACAUGGCGGGUAGGGUGGCUUUCAACCUGCUUGCCGGCCCAAGUACACGGUGAUUUGUGCGAGGAAACAACAUAGGGGACGCGUGAAGUGUGAACAAUUAUCAAAUACAUUCAGAAGCCGACGUGUUUGCGAAUCGGAACGCUGGAUCAAAUGCAAGAGCAGCAUGGCGCUGGAGACGCUUCUAUGAGGCUCCACGAAAAGGAUUGUGCGACAGUGUGUACAGAAAACUUGAAGUGUCUCCGCAGUGUGUAGGGUAUUGCAGUAAACGGGUAAAGCUGAUCCCGCAAUCCGACUUUGUCACAUGGAAUUGUGCCAAACCAUUCGGAUGCGCGAUGACGAUCUGCAUCGAAUAGAUUACAAGUGGGAUGAGUCUCCAGUCACGGCCAUUACUCCAGAGACUUCCCCUUCGAGUUGCGGUCCACUGUAAAUGUGUUGUACAAUUUCAGCAAAUUUUAACUCGCUUCUGUGCCUCCUUUCCUCGUCA